rfam:Amborella trichopoda AMTR_V1.0_contig_19421, whole genome shotgun sequence.
CCCACACCUAUGUGUGUAGGACCCCAAAGGAUCACCAUUAAAUUUGACACAAAUCUCUAGAAAAGUUAUCAUAUGGGUGUGAGACUUGACUUUCUAGAGAUCUGUGCCAAAUCUAAUGGUGAUCUUUUGGGGUCCUACACACAUGGGUGUAGG